GUUUAGUUAGCGCAGUAGUCAGCGCGUGCACUCAGAAUUGUGAAAAGGCUUAAAACACCUUUAUUGUGCAGCUUCGGUUGGUCAAUAUUUAUUACACUAUUUUUCUAGUGUAAGAUCCCGGGUUCGAAUCCCGGACCGCACA